rnacentral:rRNA from 1 species
UUACACAUGCAGUCGAACGAUGAUGCCCACUUGUGGGUGGAUUAGUGGCGAACGGGUGAGUAACACGUGAGUAACCUGCCCUUAACUCUGGGAUAAGCCUGGGAAACUGGGUCUAAUACCGGAUAUGACUCCUCAUCGCAUGGUGGGGGGUGGAAAGCUUUUUUGUGGUUUUGGAUGGACUCNCGGCCUAUCANCUUGUUGGUGAGGUAAUGGCUCACCAAGGCGACGACGGGUAGCCGGCCUGAGAGGGUGACCGGCCACACUGGGACUGAGACACGGCCCAAACUCCUACGGGAGGCAGCAGUGGGGAAUAUUGCACAAUGGGCGCAAGCCUGAUGCAGCGACGCCGCGUGAGGGAUGACGGCCUUCGGGUUGUAAACCUCUUUCAGUAGGGAAGAAGCGAAAGUGACGGUACCUGCAGAAAAAGCGCCGGCUAACUACGUGCCAGCAGCCGCGGUAAUACGUAGGGCGCAAGCGUUAUCCGGAAUUAUUGGGCGUAAAGAGCUCGUAGGCGGUUUGUCGCGUCUGCCGUGAAAGUCCGGGGCUCAACUCCGGAUCUGCGGUGGGUACGGGCAGACUAGAGUGAUGUAGGGGAGACUGGAAUUCCUGGUGUAGCGGUGAAAUGCGCAGAUAUCAGGAGGAACACCGAUGGCGAAGGCAGGUCUCUGGGCAUUAACUGACGCUGAGGAGCGAAAGCAUGGGGAGCGAACAGGAUAA